CGCACAACGCGACCGAACACUAAAUGACGCAAAAACGGUUUGGCUAUCAGGAAGGAUGCCCCGCUGUCUGCUGGACACUGGUGCAGGUGGCUGAGGGCCGAGUUCUAAGAGUCAUGAGAAAUAAAGACCUGCAGGACGGGCUGACAGCUGGGGUCUAGAGAGGAGUUCACAUUGUUCUCCCAGGACGAUAAGCCUGAGCCUGCAGGGAGCAUUAGGAGAGGAGGAGCAUGAGGAGUGUGACCUGUCGGGGCAGCCCACUCCAGGGGUCUCCUCUGAUGGGGCCUUCGUGCGUGGCCCAGCAUUCCAGCUUUCCACAGGAUUUCAACAUGUGAAUUUGGGGGGACAGAGACAUCCAGUCCGCAGCAUUAAUCAUUCCAU
rnacentral:lncRNA from 1 species